GCUGCUUAUACAGGCUGGGAAGAUGCGAGAAAUGACCCUGUGAAGGCAGUUACUUUUGGGGAUGGGGAACCAUUGCCAGCUGAUACCAUCUAUGAGUGCCUGAAAAUCCUUGAAGAGGAAUGUGUUGCCAUUCCUUGGAAGAAAGGAGACGUUUUACUCAUAGAUAAUUGGGCUGUCCUUCACUCUCGAAGAUCAUUUGAUCCACCUAGACGAGUGCUGGCUUCACUCUGCAAAUAGGAUUGGUGAAGCC
rnacentral:lncRNA from 1 species